rnacentral:lncRNA from 1 species
AGAAACAACAUCAAGGGCCUUUUGGAGACCAGGGGACAAGUGAGGGGAAAGCAGUGCCAGGUGGUGACUGCAUUCCCAGGGCUUUGGAGCCAACAGUGAAAACAGGACAGACAAGAAGCACCUGACUCCUGCUGUGCGGGCUGCAAGGUGGGGUGUGGCCCGUAGCCAUCCCACCUGGCCUUAGCCCCCUCUCUCCUGCUCAUCCCCAGGAGGGACUGGGACAGCCUGCCCAGCAGCCUCCCUCGUUAUGUCGUGACCGCCCUUCUCUGGAACUGACAGGACUGCGAUUCCCCACCAUUGGAAAAAUAGAUGAAAAAUGAGACCGGGUGCCUGCAGGCUGCCACCCUGGGGAAGCCAUGCGGAGGAUGACCCUGUGGAUCCGUGCAGUGCCGGCCAGCCCGGCUCCGUUUGGGGCGAGGCUGGGCAAGAAAUACUGAGGUCUCUAUGCCAGGGCUGCUGCUACAGCUCCCCCGCUCUCACCUCCUCCCGCCGGGCAUCUCCCCAGCUCAAGACGGAAGGGAAGGCAGUGGCCCAGGAUCCGUGGGCUUGGGCCACUACGGCCUCAUCAGCUGCUCCAUCAAGCUAAGACCUCAAUGGUCCCAUGAUGCUGUGAAGCUCCAGGGAAGGAUUGCAUGGCUGAAGACGUCCUGGUUCCUUAAGAACCAAGCAGUAAGAGAAAGGUUUCACCUGGGGAGGGACAGAUUCCUAAUCAACCUAAGCUCUUUGUCCCCCUAGGGUCUUCAUCUGCAUAAGUUCCUCAUUGUCCUAGGAUUAUUGCUGCCCUCUGAGUCACCU